rnacentral:lncRNA from 1 species
GCCACAUCUGCUUGGAGAACAAAUAAGGAAUUGAGCCUGCACAAUCAACUCGAGAGCAGAAGGAGUCUGAGUUGAAGAACUCAAGAAGCUUCAACAACAUCGCCAAAGAGCAAAGCUUCGCCGUACAAUUCCAAUCCAGUUCAAGAUCAAAGCUGUGGAAAGGUAACAAGAUCAUCUACCUCCAUAACCAGAUUUGUGUUCCUAAACUCUACUCUUUCUUGUUUUUACCUUGCUAUACUUGUCAUGUUUAUUCGUUAUUUGUUUAUUUGCUUGUUUUUGUGUGAGUUUAUACUUGAAACAUUGAGGACAAUGUUUGAUUUAAGUGUGGGGGGGGUAACCAUUGUUUUGCAUGAAAGUCGUAGGAGUUUAUCACCCAUUACUUCUAAUGUUGUUCCUUGCUCUUUUAAGUGUUUUUAAGCUGUUUUGAAGUGUUUUAGUUUGUUUUGAUAUAAAAAUCCGAAAAUCUCAUAAAAAUUUGAAAAAAAUUGUUUUGAAAAACCUAAAAAGAGUUGUUUUUGUAUGUUUAUUUGUGUCUUAGGGUACCUU